rnacentral:lncRNA from 1 species
AGAAUAAUUAACUAGAUAUCAUUGAGAUGGGAGCCAUCUCUGUGGGCCCCGCUGUGAAUAAUGUGCAUUAAAAAAUUGUAUCUUUACCAUAGGACAUGGUUUGUCAACUGAAAUCAAAGUUUUUGACCUUGACCUUUGACCUAGGAAGUUGUAAAUAAAUUAUGACACACCCUUUGGUGUUGGUUUAUAAACAUGUCAAGUAUAAACUUUGAAAUGAUAACGGUUCUCAAGAUAUAGAGCGGACACGAUCUUUACCAUAGGACAUGGGGUUGUCAACUGAAACCAAAGUUUUUGACCUUGACCUUUGACCUAGGAAGUUGCACAUCAAUUAUGACACACCCUUUGGUGUUGGUUUAUAUACAUGUCAAGUAUAAACUUUGAAAUGAUAAUGGUUCUCAAGAUAUAGAGCGGACACGAUCUUUACCACAGGACACAGGGUUGUCAACUGAAACCAAAGUUUUUGACCUUGAACUUUGA